rnacentral:rRNA from 1 species
AGUGGGGAAUAUUGGACAAUGGGCGCAAGCCUGAUCCAGCCAUGCCGCGUGAGUGAUGAAGGCCUUAGGGUUGUAAAGCUCUUUCAGUGGGGAAGAUAAUGACGGUACCCACAGAAGAAGCCCCGGCUAACUUCGUGCCAGCAGCCGCGGUAAUACGAAGGGGGCUAGCGUUGUUCGGAUUUACUGGGCGUAAAGCGCACGUAGGCGGAUCGUUAAGUGAGGGGUGAAAUCCCAGGGCUCAACCCUGGAACUGCCUUUCAUACUGGCAAUCUAGAGUCCGGAAGAGGUGAGUGGAACUCCUAGUGUAGAGGUGGAAUUCGUAGAUAUUAGGAAGAACACCAGUGGCGAAGGCGGCUCACUGGUCCGGUACUGACGCUGAGGUGCGAAAGCGUGGGGAGCAAA